rnacentral:sRNA from 1 species
GCCAGGUGUGGUGGCACACACCUGUAAUCCCAGCAACCCAGGAGGCUGAGGCAGAAGGAUCACAAGUUAAGGCCAGCCUCAGCAACUUAGUGAGACUCUGUCUCAA